CUAUGGCUUUAGGUGAAGGGACCUUUCUUGAAGAAAUGCAGAAGGUAAAUCAUCUAUUUGGAUUAAAAUGCCUAGGUAUAUAUAAGGGCCGCACAUUCAGGAACGUGCCAUAUUGGUUUCUACCAACAACCUGAAAACUCCAGAAAAUGCAACAGAGGGCUAAAAAAGCAGGACAGAUAGAUCGAACAAAGAAUCCUCCCGUAGACGAGACCAAUCUCGUCUUACAAAAGACAUUUCUGCGAGGAUCGUCGUUAGCCUUCUUCGAGCACUCAUUUCCUCGUCGUCUUGCCAGUUGCGGUAGUAUUGCUUCACAAUUUCACAUAUUUGGCGAUAGCAGGAAUACCUAAUGCAGCGUCCACGAAUCAGUAACCGACCAAUAUUGGAGUAUAAAUGGAACAUACGAGGAAAGGGAAAACGAACAGGAGUAAGCGGAUACGUAGUAAUUCAUCGUCCAUCUGCAUCUGCAUCUUGCUAGAUCCAUAUCCAUUUAAUAGAGCUGCCGAUGGAUUCUCGAAGACCUUCGCCAUCAUAACAUCACCCCACACGGCAUCACUGAAAUCAACAAAUCCCGUCACGUCUUUGGUGUCCGGGUCAACAAGGACAUUCGAUUCGUCUCCAAUAUUCACGACAACAAGACGGGGUUCCGUAACAACACCAAGCGCUGGGCUGAGCCGCAUGAUGUGGUGACGGAUCUCAGCGUAUGGCAGUGAAAUGAACAUAUCUUCAGCAUCAUAGAGGAUUGAUUCAGCGAAUAUUAGGAAUGCGUGUUUCCAACUCUGUCUUCCCCUACCCUGGGAAACGGAAUGAAAAUUGCCGAAUUGGGUGGAUGUGAACUGGCCGAGGAAUUUUACCGUCCGUCCCAGUUGCUCAUCUACACGAUUCCGAUCUGCAAAAGUGAGAGACGACGGAUCAAUCUCACUAAGUGGCACCCCGCUGAGUGAUUGCUUUAGGAGAAAAUGAGUUCUAGGAUCAAACUUUAGGACAUCGAAGCCGAAGAGACGUGGGAUAUAUGGGCUGUUUCGUGAAGCCAACAACGAAAGGACCGCGGCUUCCGUCCUCAGGGAGUGUUUUUCUUGACGUAGCAGUGUGGUGGGUUGCCUAGGGCUGGCCUUCACGGUGAGAUCGAGUCCAUUAGAGAGUUUGAGAAGGUAACGCGGAUAGACGUUAUCGCGGAGUGGCUUAUAAUCUAGGACUCGAGCAGAAGGAAAUAUAGGCUGGAUAAGAGUUUGGAACAUAGCAAGAUCGGGACGGGAUUUAGUCUCAGAUUCUGGGAGAUAGAGGGGCAUUUCCUCUUGAAGGAAAUGAUGUAACAAAAAGUAUAUAGUUAUAAUCUUAAACGCUCGAAUGCUUUUAGGAUAUUUAGACAAUCUAUCAUCAUAAUACCGUGAUAUAUGUAUCGAACAAUUCAGAUGGUGUUAAAUAUGGAAUUGGCUUCGAAGUAUGGCAGCUCAAGUUCCAUAUAUGUGAUUGACAGACGAACCAACCGUGAGCAAAUUUGACAUGGUUGACGAAUCUCGGAUCCAGGAUCCAUGAAAUUGCACGGC
rnacentral:sRNA from 2 species